ensembl:lncRNA novel transcript, antisense to C12orf44
GGCAUCUGGAAGACUGCUCCCCACAGCAAGAAGUGGUGGCUCUUCUGUACAGUGGAGAAAGAAGGGGGACCCCACCAGGGCUAUGGAGAGACAGUAGAGGCAGGACUGAACCGUCAGCAAAGAUUAAAAGGAUGACCUGAGGCUGGCAACCACAAAACCAAGAAGCCAGCGGGGGCUGCCCCUUCCAAGUCUCACCAAUGACCCAGAGCAGGUUCCAGAGCCCAAAGGCCCAAAAGUGCAAUUCCCAAAAGCCAAGGUCUGGGAGCCAUCAAGGAGCUCCCAGAGAUCCAGCGACGCUCAGAGGGCAAGGGUGUCUUUGAUGAGCCUGCGCAUGGUGGUGGUGACUGAGGUGCCCAGGGCAUCAGUGAUCUGGAAGGAGAUCUUGUACAGGUAGGGCUGCACGUCCCGCAAGCCUGUGUCAAACACGUUAUCCACCUCCGACUGUGUGGGCAUCUUGGGCAAGUACUCAUGCCGAUUCAUCACCUCCACGAUGUUGAUGAUCUUCUCGCAGAGUUUCUCACCCACCUUCUCCCGGCAGAUCUGCCGCUCCUGCUCCGUGGCCAGGGCUACCACAUGCACCUUGACCGUCCACACUUCCCAUGGGAUGCACUCGUCUGAGAAUGGCCAGCGAGACUUCUUCUUCUGGU